CAGUCGCCGCGGUAAUACAGAGGGUGCAAGCGUUAAUCGGAAUUACUGGGCGUAAAGCGCGCGUAGGUGGUUUGUUAAGUUGGAUGUGAAAUCCCCGGGCUCAACCUGGGAACUGCAUCCAAAACUGGCAAGCUAGAGUAUGGUAGAGGGUGGUGGAAUUUCCUGUGUAGCGGUGAAAUGCGUAGAUAUAGGAAGGAACACCAGUGGCGAAGGCGACCACCUGGACUGAUACUGACACUGAGGUGCGAAAGCGUGGGGAGCAAACAGGAUUAGAGACCCGCGUAGUCCCUGUCUCUUAUAC
rnacentral:rRNA from 1 species